rnacentral:lncRNA from 1 species
AAACAAGCAAAAAACAUACACACAAAUAGCAAAUGGCCAACAAGCUCUUUCUCGUCUCGGCGACUCUCGCCCUCUUCUUCCUUCUCACCAAUGCCUCCAUCUACCGAACGGUCGUAGAAGUCGAGGAAGAUGAUGCCACAAACCCAGCCGGCCCAUUUCGGAUUCCGAAAUGUAGGAAGGAGUUUCAGCAAGCACAACACCUAAGAGCUUGCCAGCAAUGGCUCCACAAGCAGGCAAUGCAGUCCGGUAGUGGUCCAAGCUGGACCCUCGACGGUGAGUUUGAUUUUGAAGACGACAUGGAGAACCCUCAGAGCCCACAGCAGAGGCCACCGCUACUCCAGCAGUGCUGCAACGAGCUCCACCAGGAAGAGCCACUUUGUGUUUGCCCAACCUUGAAAGGAGCAUCCAAAGCCGUUAAACAACAGGUUCGACAACAGCAAGGACAGCAGGGACAGCAGCUGCAGCAAGUAAUUAGUCGUAUCUACCAGACUGCUACGCACUUACCUAAAGUUUGCAACAUCCCUCAAGUUAGCGUUUGUCCCUUCCAGAAGACCAUGCCUGGACCCUCCUACUAGAUUCCAAACGAAACCCUCGAGUGUAUGAAUGUGGUUGUCGGUAUAUGUCAACGCCACACUUCAUCGCGUAAUAUGUAAGGUCUUAUCUAGGAUGUUUGAGGCUAUGUAAUUAGCACUACUCCAUAAUAAAAGAGGNNNNNNNNNNNNNNNNNNNNNNNNNNNNNNNNNNNNNNNNNNNNNNNNNNNNNNNNNNNNNNNNNNNNNAAAAAAUAUUUUGAUAAGCGAAAAAUUAAAAUCAUGUAAUUAUAAACAGUUUUAAGUGAUAUAAAUUAAAAUAUAACAAAAUUGAAUUGUUUUCAACAUAGAUGAGUGUAGGUAGUGAAUCAUGGUAUUCUUUGGUCUAGGGUUUGACAACAUAUGUUGUAGUAUUGUAUGUAUACUUAGGGUUAGAUUUUGGAAAGCUUGAAUGUUUUUUUGAAAAAUUAAUUUUUUACCUAUGCAUGUUUAUUUUUGUGUAUAGUAAAUACUUUUGAAGUUUAAUUUGGUUUUAUGAAGUGUUUAGUUAGUUAAUUAAGUUUAGGGGUAAUGUUUAUGAUCUAGACUACUUACAUUUCAGUCGUAUGGUGAAGAAAUUAAAACAGACGACUUACAUGUAAGUCGUCCAAAUAUUUCCGCCUAAAAUUUUUUUAAAAAUUAUUUUCCCGCUUAAAUAAUAUAAACCAGACGACUUACUUGUAAGUCGUCUAGAAAGUGUUCUAUUUUAGUUUCUCACUAAAAAUAUUUUAAUUUCCCGCUAAAAAUAUUAAAACCUUCUGGACGACUUACAAGUAAGUCGUCUGAAUCAAACAUAUUUAACCUAAUUGAAUUUUUUGUCUCCCUAUAUAAAGAAAAAUUUACACAUUUUCUCUCCUCCUCUCAAAUGGCUGCAACAAAAAUGUAAUGUUCAUCACUCUAAAAGUCUUCAACCUCUCUCUAAUCUUUUUGACUUGAAAACACCAAACUUUAUAUGAAUUUUUCAGUUUUGUCUCAUGUCUUUCUUAAUAAUCUAUCUUUUUUGCAGGUUUUUAAUCAGAUGGUACUCAUCUUCCACUCAUUUAAAGGUAGAUCUAUUAAUUUUAGAUAUAUAUUUUUGUGUGUUCUAUAAAGGUAGAUUUAUCUAAUCUUCCACUCAUUUUCUCUAUUUUUAAGUCAUUUGAACGUUUUUGGAUAUGCAGGUUUUUCAGAUCUGGAUUUGAUAUGCAGGUUUUUCAGAUCUGGAAGACUUCUAUAAUGUUCUUGAUCGAUCACCGGUUUUUGAUGGUAUAUUACAAAGUCGAGCUCCAAAAGUUAAUUACAUUGUCAACGGACAUGAGUACCAUUUGGCUUACUAUCUCACAGAUGAUAUUUAUCCAAAAUGGGUUACUUUUGUCCAAUCUAUUCCACUCCCGCAAGGUCUGAAAGCAUCCUUAUUCGCUACACAUCAAGAAGCUGUAUGUAAAGAUGUCGAGCGUGCUUUUUGGGUCUUACAAGCUCGAUUUGCCAUAGUAAAAAAUCCAGCUCUUUUGUGGGAUAAAAUAAAAAUUGGAAAGAUAAUGAGAGCAUGUAUCAUUCUACAUAAUAUGAUCGUAGAAGACGAACGAGAUGAGUACACUCAGUUUGAUGUAUCAGUUUUCGCACAACCAGAAUCAAACCGAAGUUCACAAGUGGAUUUCACGUAUUCUACAGAUAUGCCUUCAAAACUCGGCAAUAUGAUGAGCAUUCGGAAUCGAGUUCGUGAUAAUACAAUACAUCAACAAUUGAAAGCGGAUUUGGUUGAGCAUAUAUGACAAAAAUUUGGAACAAUCAAGAUUUCAACUAAUCGGUUUUUUCUCGUUUACGAUUUGUAUUUGUAUUUUUAAUAUGCUUUUAUGUCAUUUUUAUUAAGAAUUUUAAUGUAUGAUUUUAUUUUUAAUCAUUCUAUUUAAAAAUGAAUUAUUUAAGAACCCCUUGGGGUUCUCCCAUUGGGAGAGGAAUACAUAAUUUCCUCAAACAAAGGUUCUUUAACUACUCAAAUCACUUUAUUAAAUAUUAAUUUACUCCUAAAAACCCAUUAGAGGUUCUAAUGGAUGGACUUGCUCUUAACGAUCCCGAAUUACAUAGUUAUGUGUUCUCACACUUUCUCUUACAAGUGUUUUUAACCGCUUGCUUAAACUUUAAAUUUUAGUUUACCAUGUAAUUAAUUAUGAUCAGUGCCAUUGUGUGAUUCCUUUUUCUUAAAUAUCUUAACUUGAAUUAACUAAAUGUUUAAAAGGAAAUUCGUUUUUUAUAAAAAAUAUACAAAAUGUCAGAAUAUGAACUACACAUCAUACAUGCAUGGUUGCAUGGCAUGUAGACGCGGAAACUUGUCACUCCUCCACAUUUGAGAUUCCAACACCUAAUCGCUACAAAAACCUUAUAGAUUCUCCCUUUCUCACAAACAAACAAACACAUUCAUGCAAUGUUACACGUGAUCUCCAUGCAGAACAUCUUUCACGCCUAUAAAUACCAACCAACACUCCACUUCCCUCUUCACUCAAACGAAAACAAGCAAAAAACAUACACACAAAUAGCAAAUGGCCAACAAGCUCUUUCUCGUCUCGGCGACUCUCGCCCUCUUCUUCCUUCUCACCAAUGCCUCCAUCUACCGAACGGUCGUAGAAGUCGAGGAAGAUGAUGCCACAAACCCAGCCGGUCCAUUUAGGAUUCCGAAAUGUAGGAAGGAGUUUCAGCAAGCACAACACCUAAGAGCUUGCCAGCAAUGGCUCCACAAGCAGGCAAUGCAGUCCGGUAGUGGUCCAAGCUGGACCCUCGAUGGUGAGUUUGAUUUUGAAGACGACAUGGAGAACCCUCAGAGCCCACAGCAGAGGCCACCGCUACUCCAGCAGUGCUGCAACGAGCUCCACCAGGAAGAGCCACUUUGUGUUUGCCCAACCUUGAAAGGAGCAUCCAAAGCCGUUAAACAACAGGUUCGACAACAGCAAGGACAGCAGGGACAGCAGCUGCAGCAAGUAAUUAGUCGUAUCUACCAGACUGCUACGCACUUACCUAAAGUUUGCAACAUCCCUCAAGUUAGCGUUUGUCCCUUCCAGAAGACCAUGCCUGGACCCUCCUACUAGAUUCCAAACGAAACCCUCGAGUGUAUGAAUGUGGUUGUCGGUAUAUGUCAACGCCACACUUCAUCGCGUAAUAUGUAAGGUCUUAUCUAGGAUGUUUGAGGCUAUGUAAUUAGCACUACUCCAUAAUAAAAGAGGAUUUUAGUGUUUUAUUCGGUGUGCAUGCUCUCUAAGUGGUUCAAGAUUUUAGUUUUCAAGCAAAUUCCAAUCAAAAUUGUGCGUUACUUACAUCGGCUGUUUAACGGCGUGCAAAACACCGAUCGAACUGAUCUACGAGGGCAUAUGCCAUCGUUCAAUCUCUGACCAAGUCUCUUACAAUAAAUUAAUGAAUAAUAAUACUAAUUAAGCAAAAAGAGAGAGAAGUGAACGAUCAGCUCUUCAGACCACCUCCAGGACCCCUAAUGGGUACUGAAAAUUAAAUUAGUGUUUAAUUUAGUGAUUUGAAAGGUUUAGAACCUCUAUUAAUCUAUUUAAUUUUUUCAUCUUCUAUUGGUAGAACUUCAUUGAGGUACUUAAAAAAUAAUUUAUUUUUUUUAAAGUUGAAUGAUUUGAAAGACCAUGAUACAUAAAAUUUUCAGGGGAAUUUGUCAAAACUAACCCACAACUUAAUUUUAAUCCCAAACAUAUACUCAAACUUGAAUCAAAUGCAAAGCUAAUAUAAAAGCCUUGUGAAAUUACAGCUCAACCACUUUUUCUAAGUCAUUUUUACGAAUAUAGCCCUAGUAAAUCGUCUGAGUCGUCUGAGAUGUUGGAAGUCGUCUGGACGACUUCAAAUUAAGUCUUCUGGUGUAGUUGAUCUUAAAAAUAACUUUUAAAUUUUUUAAAAAAUAUUUUGAUAAGCGAAAAAUUAAAAUCAUCUAAUUAUAAACAGUUUUAAGUGAUAUAAAUUAAAAUAUAACAAAAUUGAAUUGUUUUCAACAUAGAUGAGUGUAGGUAGUGAAUCAUGGUAUUCUUUGGUCUAGGGUUUGACAACAUAUGUUGUAGUAUUGUAUGUAUACUUAGGGUUAGAUUUUGGAAAGCUUGAAUGUUUUUUUGAAAAAUUAAUUUUUUACCUAUGCAUGUUUAUUUUUGUGUAUAGUAAAUACUUUUGAAGUUUAAUUUGGUUUUAUGAAGUGUUUAGUUAGUUAAUUAAGUUUAGGGGUAAUGUUUAUGAUCUAGACUACUUACAUUUCAGUCGUAUGGUGAAGAAAUUAAAACAGACGACUUACAUGUAAGUCGUCCAAAUAUUUCCGCCUAAAAUUUUUUUAAAAAUUAUUUUCCCGCUUAAAUAAUAUAAACCAGACGACUUACUUGUAAGUCGUCUAGAAAGUGUUCUAUUUUAGUUUCUCACUAAAAAUAUUUUAAUUUCCCGCUAAAAAUAUUAAAACCUUCUGGACGACUUACAAGUAAGUCGUCUGAAUCAAACAUAUUUAACCUAAUUGAAUUUUUUGUCUCCCUAUAUAAAGAAAAAUUUACACAUUUUCUCUCCUCCUCUCAAAUGGCUGCAACAAAAAUGUAAUGUUCAUCACUCUAAAAGUCUUCAACCUCUCUCUAAUCUUUUUGACUUGAAAACACCAAACUUUAUAUGAAUUUUUCAGUUUUGUCUCAUGUCUUUCUUAAUAAUCUAUCUUUUUUGCAGGUUUUUAAUCAGAUGGUACUCAUCUUCCACUCAUUUAAAGGUAGAUCUAUUAGUUUUAGAUAUGUAUUUUUGUGUGUUCUAUAAAUGUAGAUUUAUCUAAUCUUCCACUCAUUUUCUCUAUUUUUAAGUCAUUUGAACGUUUUUGGAUAUGCAGGUUUUUCAGAUCUGGAUUUGAUAUGCAGGUUUUUCAGAUCUGGAAGACUUCUGGGACGACUUACCUGUUAGUCGUCUGGAAGUCGUCUGGAAGUCGUCUGGACUUCUUGGAAGUCUUCUGACAAAGUCGUCUGGACUUCCAGGAAGUCGUCUGGACUUCGACGAAGUCGUCUGGACUUCCAGGAAGUCGUCUGGACUUCCAGGAAGUCGUCUGGACUUCCAGGAAGUCGUCUGGACUUCCAGGAAGUCGUCUGGACUUCCAGGAAGUCGUCUGGACUUCCAGGAAGUCGUCUGGACUUCCAGGAAGUCGUCUGGACUUCCAGGAAGUCGUCUGGACUUCAUGGAAGUCUUCUGACGAAGUCUCCCUUUCAUAAUAGAUCUGAGCGUUUUGGUAAGUUCUUAUGUCUGAUUUUUCUUCAUUUGGUAACUUCUUGUUGUAUAAAGUUCUUACUUUUUUCCCAAACUAAAACUCUCCAAACCCACUCUAAUCUCUUUGACUUGAAAACACCAAACUUUAUAUGAAUUUUCCAGUUUUGUCUCAUGUCUUUCUUACUAAUCUAUCUUUUUUGCAGGUUUUUAAUUAGAUGGUACUCAUCUUCCACUAAUUUAAAGGUAGAUCUAUUAUUUUUAGAUAUGUAUUUUUGUGUGUUCUGUAAAGGUAGAUUUAUCUAAUCUUUCACUCAUUUUUUCUGUUUUUAAGCCAUUUGAACGUUUUUGGAUAUGCAGGUUUUUCAGAUCUGGAUUUGAUAUGCAGGUUUUUCAGAUCUGGAAGACUUCUGGGACGACUUACCUGUUAGUCGUCUAAAAUAUAAUGCACUAGACGACUUCCAGGAAGUCUUCCAGACGACUUCCAUUUCAGUCGUCUAGACUUCCUAAAAGUCGUCUAGACUUCCUGGAAGUCAUCUGGAAGUCGUCUGGACUUUCUGGAAGUCUUCUGACAAAGUCUUCUUCCAUAUCAAGUGGAGUCCAAGCUUGUCUUUGUAGAGGAAUGAUCUAUAAUAGUUUUGUUUGUGGUCUGUUUUGUGAAUUGCAUGUCUACUCUUUUAGUUGUGAAUUUUUUGUAAAAUCAGUAAUAAUGUUUUCCAAGAUGUAUUAAAUGUGCUAACAAUGUGUUUACACAUUUACAAAUCAAUGAAAUAAUAAACUUCAGUAGCCUUUUUUUAUCAAUAAUAAACAAAUCAAUGAAAUAAUAAACUUCAGUAGCCCGUCUUCCGCUGAUCCUCUCACCAUUUCUUGCGCAUAUAACAAUGCUCUGUAUGAAGUGGUGUAAUCAAGUGUCAUGCCAAACAUGUUCUUCAUUGCAUCUUUGAUAUGCUGCGGAUUCAACCCAUCAAUGAUUCCAACACGAUCUAUGAAAAGUCGACCAAUGUACUUCGGAGUACAGCGUUUCCGCUGAGCGAUUCUGUCUGGAAUGGAACAUGUAUGAGUUGCCACAUACUUGGUUACCCGAAACGUUUUAGUCCCAUGUUUCACACUUGCUCGGACCUUCCAUUGACAACCACUAACAUGAUAUGUUGCCACAAAGAGAGUUUUCGUUGACUUGAAUAUUCUGAAGGAGAACCUACGCCUCACCGCUGUCAACCGCAACUCUGAAAGCAGUGCAUCCUUACUAGCAAAACUCUGGUUGACAUAGAUUCUGUCUACAGAUGAUCCUUCUCCUUCACAACCAUAUGCCCAAAACAGAUUUCAUCAUCUUCUUCCUCAUCCUCGUCUUUAACCAUUCCAUACUCACUAUAAUCAUCAGCAUCAGCGACAACAGGGAUGUCAGCAUCCUCUUCCCCAUCAUGAUCCUCAGCUUCAUGCCCCUCCUCAGCUUCAUCCCCCUCCUCAGCUUCAUGCCCCUCUUCAGCUUCAUCCCCCUCCUCAGCUUCAUCCCCCUCCUCAGCCUCAUCUCCCACAUGAUCUUCAUCCCUUUUCUCUGAAACCGUUCUCAUCUUGCUAAAGCUUGAUACACAAAGACGUACUUCAUGCAUUUUAGUUAUCUCGAGCAAGUUCUGAACUUGUAUAUCACUUGUAACAUGAAUAGGAGGAAGGUCUGGAGCCAUCUGUUGUAAUGAGUAGGUUAACUCCACAGACUCUAUGAAACUUCAAUCUAAGUACUCAUGAUGACUAAACUAUACGUCGUCUGGUCAACGCAGAGGUUAUUUUUGCAAUUGACUUUGAAAUCUGUUAUUUCAGACGACUGAAAAAUAAGUCGUCUACUUUUGUUUGGUUUAAAGAAAAAACUCCAAAAAAGCUAGACGACUUACAUUUCAGUCGUCAUGGGUUAGUUUUGCAUUUGACUGGAUUAUUUCAGAAGUUUUACUUUCCUGGACGACUUAGAUUUCAGUCGUCUCGUGAAAAUUAAAAUAAUAAUAUUUUUUUUAAAACUAGACGACUUACAAUUAAGUCGUCAUAUGUUAGUUUUGCAAUUGAAAAAGAAAACUUCAAUAUUUAAUUAUAUAUAGAUGACUUACAAUUCCGUCGUCCGUCAGACGACUUACGUGUAAGUCGUCCAGGAUUUACGAGGUUUGACCAGAAUCUCGGAAUAAAAUCCUGGCUGAAUUGUAAGUCGUCUGGGUAUGAUUAAAUAUUGAAGUUUUUUUUUCAAUUGCAAAACUAACCUAUGACGACUUAAUUGUAAGUCGUCUAGUGUUAAUAAAAUAUUGAUAUUUCAAUUUUCACCAGACGACUGAAAUGUAAGUCGUCCGGGAAAGUCAAACUUCUGAAAUAUUCUAGUCAAAUGCAAAACUAACUUAUGACGUCUGAAAUGUAACUGUGUUUGACUUUAAGUUGUAGGUCAAUUCUGCCAAAAGCCUAAAUUUUUAUUAAAAAUGACAUAAAAGCAUAUUAAAAAUGCAAAUACAAACCGUAAACGAGAAAAACAGAUUAGUUGAAAUCUUGAUUUGUUCCACUUUAGUCGUCUGAGAAAACCGAUUUCAAAGUCAAUUGCAAAAAUAACCUCUGCGUUGACCAGACGACUUCAAACUUGAUUCUGAAUGCUCAUCAUAUUGCCGAGAUUUGAAGGCAUAUCUGUAGAAAACGAGAAAUCCACUUCUGAACUUCGGUUUGAAUCCGAAUUUUUGAAAAUUGAAAUAUCAAACUGAGUGUAUCCAUCUCGUUCGUCUUUUACGAUCAUAUUAUGUAGAAUGAUACAUGCUCUCAUUAUCUUUCCAAUUUUUAUUUUAUCCCACAAAAGAGGUGGAUUUUUUACUAUGGCAAAUCGAGCUUGCAUGACCCCAAAACCUGAAAUUGGUUGUUCAUGAUGGUUGGGGUAUUGAUGACAAUGGCAAUAUUGUAAUUACUUGAAGAUGAUGAGGGUGAGAGAGUAAAAAUGUUAUUUUCGAAAAGAAAAAAAAUUGAUGGCAUUUUCGUAAAUUAUAUGAACUUGUGGGGUGAAUAGGGCAAAACCAAUUUCCAAAAAAAAGGAGGUUAGUUCUGUGUUUGACUUUAAGUUGUAGGUCAAUUCUGCCAAAAGCCUAAAUUUUUAUUAAAAAUGACAUAAAAGCAUAUUAAAAAUGCAAAUACAAACCGUAAACGAGAAAAACAGAUUAGUUGAAAUCUUGAUUUGUUCCAAAUUUUUGCCAUAUAUUCUCAACCAAAUCCGCUUUCAAUCGUUGAUGUAUUGUUCUAUCACAAACUUGAUUCUGAAUGCUCAUCAUAUUGCCGAGAUUUGAAGGCAUAUCUGUAGAAAACGAGAAAUCCACUUCUGAACUUCGGUUUGAAUCCGAAUUUUUGAAAAUUGAAAUAUCAAACUGAGUGUAUCCAUCUCGUUCGUCUUUUACGAUCAUAUUAUGUAGAAUGAUACAUGCUCUCAUUAUCUUUCCAAUUUUUAUUUUAUCCCACAAAAGAGGUGGAUUUUUUACUAUGGCAAAUCGAGCUUGCAUGACCCCAAAACCUCGCUCGACAUCUUUACGUACAGCUUCUUAAAGUGUAGCGAAUAAAGAUGCUUUUGGACCUUGCGGAAGUGGAAUAGAUUGGACAAAAGUAACCCAUUUUGGAUAAAUAUCAUAUGUGAGAUAGUAAGCCAUUUGGUACUCGUGUCCGUUGACAGUGUAGUUAACUUUCGGAGCUCGACCUUGUAAUAUAUCAUCAAAAACUGGUGAUUGAUCAAGAACAUUGAUAUCGUUUAAUGUGCCUAGAGGUCCGAAAAACGCGUGUCAUAUCCAGAGGUCUUGUGAAGCUACAACCUCUAGAACAAUUGUUGGCUUUCCUGAUCCACGUGUAUAUUGUCUUUUCCAUGCGGUUGGACAAUUCUUCCACUCCCAAUGCAUACAAUCAAUGCUUCCUAUCAUCCCGGGAAAUCCGCGUAGCUCUCCAAUAUCGAGUAGUCGUUGAAGAUCUUCUGGAGUGGGUCUUCUUAGAUACUCAUCUCCAAAUAAAUUUAUGAUUCCUUGAACAAAAUGUUCUAAGCAUAAAAGCGCGGUAGUCUCACCAAGUCAGAGGUAUUCGUCGACCGCAUCAGCUGGGCAACCAUAUGCCAUCAUACGAAUUGCUGCCAUUUUCUUUUGUAACGGAGAGAGACCGAACCUUCUAGUAGCAUCUCCUCUUUGUUGAAAGUAUGAUAUUUCAGCGGAGAGUCGAUCAACAAUACGCCUGAACAAGGAUUUGUUCAUUCGAAAACAGCAUUGAAACAUGUGCGAAGGAUAUGUUGCAUCUUCACUAAAAUAAUCGUUCCAUAACUGCAUGUGUCCUUGUUCUCGUUGUCUUUCAAUGUAUGCUCGUUUAUUUUUUGGCGUUGAUGUUUCUUGACGAUCUUCAUAACGAGUGAGAAGAUUUUCAAAUUGUUGAUCGAAAAUUUGGUCCAAUCUCUCCUCCAUCAUAUCUUCGUAAUUAUUAUUAGAAGAAGAAGCCAUUUAGAAGAGAAAUGGUAAAUGAAUUUUUUUUUUUUUUGUAUAAAAGAAAUGUUGGAUGUUGUUUUCUUGUACGAUGGAAAGAGAAGGGAGGUAAACAAAUAAAAGAGCUUCAAACUUGUUCUUCUACACUCAGAAAAAAAAGAAACAAAGGAAAUAUUUUUUUUUAAUAUGGUAUAAGAGAAAUGUUUGAUGUUGUUUUCUUGUACAAUGGAAAGAGAAGAGGGGUAAACAAAUAAAAGAGGUUCAAACUUGUUCUUCUACACUCGGAAAGAAAAGAAGCAAAGGAAAAUUUUUUUUUAAUGGUAGAAGAGAAAUGUUCUUUUACACUCGGAGGAAACACAACUUAGAAAGGAAACACAAGUUGCUUUACAACUUGCAAACCAGCUAUGCAGCACGUUGGUUUUCUUGUACUGUCUUCUUGUCUUUACAAGUCACAUGUUCCUGUCUUCUUGUUCUGUCAAUGCACUGGAUGAUCCACAUGCUACUUUAUGUCACACGCUCUUCUUGUCUUCUUUAUGUCACAUGCUAUUGUCGCUUUACCUGCACAAGCACGAGACAAGUCUCAGUACAACACGAGAGAACAACACACACGUCUCAGUACAAUACACGAGAGCAACAGAAGAACACACACAAUUUCAUUAAUAUGUCACAUGCUAAUACAAACUCGACAUCAAGCAUAAAGCAACGAGAGAGAGCAAAAGAAGAACACACACAAUUUCAUGCUAAUACAGACUCCAUUAACUAACAGACUCGACACAAACAUCAUAAAGACACAAACAACAUACAUACUUGGCAAUUUCAACACAAAAAUCAUAAGACUCAAACUAACAUAUCAUUAAUAAGCUUGUUUUUUAAGGCAAUUUCGAGUUCAGUUAAUGGUUCAGUCUUGGCAAUGAGGCUAUCAAGCAAUUUUUGCUUGUUAAGAGUUUCCUUCAAAGCAAAAUCCGCUUGCCUAAUCUCCCAGAUGCUCUGAAAUUCCCUCCUCUCCUUCUCUUCCUCUUCCAAAGUAGCUUGCUUCCUCACUGGUUUUUUUCCUUUUGCCUUUGCUGCUUAAACCCCAACUGGCCGACCCAUAGCUUCCUCUCCAUGGCCAUCUUGCACAGAGGAUGAUGAUUGUGUCGUCUGGGCAUCCAACUUCCUUCUUUUAGACUAAACUUUAUCCUUAGUAGAAGAAGCUCCACUCCAUUCCUGAUCAUAACGAAGUUCCAACCAUGCAUGCUCCAUUGUGAACUUCUUCUUGUAAUCAUCAAAGUAAAUCUCGUGAGCCAUUUUCAAGACGUCAUUCUCGUUCUGUCCACUCGAUCUCUGUUUCGUUGCAGCUUCAUAGCACCCAACAAACUUACACACGGCUUCAUUGAUUUUCCCCCACCUUGAUUUACAGUUGUUGUCUCUCUGGGCUGCAAACCAUCGAGCUUGGGACUUGCAGUAUAGUAAGCAGCAAUUCGUUUCCAAAACGUACUUGCUUUCUGCUCAUUCUCAACCACUGCAUCCUUGGAAGUGUUCAACCAAGCACUUAUCAGCACACCAUCUUCUGUUGGUGACCAUUUAUGCCUCUCUUUACGGUCAGACACAGUCUCUGCGUCUUCAUUGCCAUCUUCAUUCCAUUAUGAACAGAAAACAGAGGCAUCAGACGCAGAGACAGACUGAUAAGGCUCACGAGGGACAGACUAAUAAGGCUCAUGAGGGACAGACGCAGAGACUGACUCAUUCCAUUGAGUGUUUGGUUGUUGACUGGUCAAGAAGUUUUGAAAGCUAUAUUGUUGAAUAUAAGGAUCCAUACGAGUUUUGGAGAAGAGGUUUUGAAAGCUAAAAAGAAAGAACAAAAUAGAAGGAAAUAGUUUUGGAGAAGUAAAUAAAUUUGGAGUCAUGGUUUAUAGUUGUUAAAGUUUUUUGUUGUUGAAGUUUUAAUGGAAAGUUUUAAUGGCAAGUUUAAAGUUUGAAGUUGGAGAAGUUUUAAGUUGUUAAAGUUUUAAUGACAAGAGAAUCAAUAUCCCUUUAUUAUUAUUUGAGGAGCAUUAUAGAUAAUUAACUUUUAGUUCAUGUGUUAUUUUCAAAAUUGUCAUUUCCUGCGUGGCAGCACCAUAAACCCUCUCACAUCUUAUAUUCAAAAAUCAUUUGUUAACUAGAUUAAUUACAAUAAUUGUCAUUGCUUGCCAUUGAUCAUUUGAUUAUAAUUUUACUAAUAUACUGUAAGCUUCUUCAUUACAAUGACUAACAAAACAUUGACGUCCAUGUUUAAUGCGUUUUCAUUAUAAUUCAAACUUACGGGCGUAUAGUCAUUUAUUCCCAGAUCCGGUCCACAAAGUUAAUUAUAUAUGAGAUAACGAUUUUGUAGAUGGUAUAAUCCGAUACAUAUAUAACUAAAAUAAGUAUAAUUUAUAACACGUGUAUGUGGACCAUCUAUAAUGAUUCGGAUUAUACCAUUAUGUGCAUAUGUAUCGGAUUUAAUGUAACAAAAUAUUACCGUUAAAAUUAUAAUCUCUUCACAAUGUUAGCAGAACUCUAACAUAUGUUAUAAAUUAUACUUAUUAUAGUUAAUAUUUAAAUAGAGUGAGACAAAAAUAUAUGCACACGUUUUUACAAGUAUUCAUCAUAUAGCAUUUUAUAAUAUGUUAGACAUUAUAUAUAUAAAUGUGAUAUAAGUAUAAUGCCUAACUAUAGUCUAAUUCAAAAAAAUGUCUAACUAUAGUGUCUACAAAUUAAUUUCGUUUAAGGACUUAUCGUAACAAGGGGAUGUCUAACUAUUACGAAAUCACGAUGGCCCAUAUAACUCCGUUUAAGGACUUAUCAUAAUUGUAAUUGUAAACCAUGAUUAAUGAUUGCUACGAAAUCACGACGUCUAACUAUUAAUAUUAAAAAGAAACAUGAUUUGCAAUAACUUUGUUCAAAUCUGGGUGAAAGUUAAAAAGACACUUCUAAUAACGUUGCAAUAUAUAUGAUAUAUAUGAAAGUUGAAAGGAAACUUCUAAUAAUUUUAGUUGUUCUAUCUCUUAAUGAAACGUGAUUUGCAAGGACAACCGUAAUUAAUGAUUGUUAAAAGGAAACUUCUAAUAACUUUGAUAUAUUUUUAAAUUACGAAUUUGGUAACGUUUUGGUAAUAAUACUUGAAUCAAAUCCGCCAUUAUUUUUUAUAAAAUUUUGGUAAUAAUAGGGAGUCGAUUAUGGUUACAAAAUUUUGUCAACUAUUAAUAUGUUGUAUAUAAGGAAGUUAUAUUGUGGAUUCAAAUUAUUCGAAUCAAUUAACAAUCGUGAAUUUUAUUUAUUUUGUUCAAUUGUAAUUUAUAAAAGGAAGUUCGAUUAUAGUGUCUACAAAAUUUAGGUAAGUUACGAUUACCAUUGGAGCCCAAGUUAUGUGAAAUUAAAUACAGUAGAACAUCUAUAAAUUAAUAAUGUUGAGAUUUUGAAAUUUAAUUAAUUUAUAGAGAUAUUAAUGUACAAAAGUUUCCUUAUUUAGAUUUUUUAUUUUAAGAUAUAUUUAUUCUAAGAUAAAAAAAAAUAUUUGAUUUUAGUGUAUAAACAUUAAUUAUUAUUUUUUGAAAAUUCACAUUUAUAUUAAUUUUAUUAUAUUAUUUGGUGUAUAUAAUAUAUAUCGCAUAGAAGUUAAAUGUGCUUUUAGAUAUAAUAUUACUAAAUCUCAUCAAAAUUUAUUAAGUGUUAAGAAAAUAUAAAGAUAAUUCUAUUGUGAAUAUAAAACAAACAAUAUAAUAGUAGGUUCUUACUUAUAUAAAAUAUGUAUAUAUAGAAAUUAUUAAUUUAUAAUUUUAAUGGGACCAUAUAUUUACAUAGAAUUUUCUAAAAAAUUAUUAUCUUAUUAUUUUAUCUAUUGUGUCAAAUUUUGAACCGACCCAAGUUGGGAUCGGCAAAAUUUAUUAAUUUAUAGAGAUUAUUAAUUUAUUGAGUAUUAAUUUAUAGAGGUUCUAGAGUAUGUAAUAAUAUAUUUAAUUACAGUGUAUCAUUAAUCACAUGGGCGCUGCCUUCUUAAUAUAAAUAUAUGUUCUCUAAAAUUCAUCGACUCACCACACACUUCUUCUCGACUUCCUAAUUAUCAAAACAUUCUCUGGAGCAAACAAAUGGUUGGCUUUAACUCCGUUUCAGAAAGUGGUAUAUCAGUUCGUUUAGUGAAUUUUUUAAGUAUGUAUGUUUUGUUCGGUAAACUAAUUCUUAGUUAUUUCUCUCUAUAGGAUUGCAAACCAGAAGUUCUGAAGACCCUUUAUCAGUUUUUUAUUUGUUUCCUUGUAAUUUGUUUCUUUCGUAUUUUAUUUUUCUAUUACUUAUGUUUUAAAUAUUAUAAUCAUAAUUUUAUUUAUGAAAUCAAUAAUUAUAUUUCCUAUGUUUUGUUUUGUCUUAAAUUCAUAAUAAAUUAAUAAAAGUUAUUGCAUACUAUUAUAUAUUUUUUACAUAAAAUAUAUCUAAUUUACACAUAACCAACUACAAAAAACAAUCUUUUUCAAAAAAAAAACAAUAUUUUUCAAAAAAAACACUUAAGAUUACAUUAUAUUCACACUUUCGUUCCAUAUAUAUCAUUAGAUCUAAUAUUUUUGUCUAUAACUUUAAAAUUUCUAAUAUCUGUAAAAUUAUUUAAAAAAAUUUCUUUUGAUCAUUCACUCCGCGUAUGGCGUGGGUUAUCACUUAGUGUAUACGCUAAAACAACCACGCAACCUAAAUAUCAAAACUAAAGUUCAUUUAAUUCUCAACCAUUUUCUAAAUCACGUAAUCAAUAUCAUGCUCACCAUUAAAAGCAAAUCUACUUAGACAGAAAAUCUACCUUACCUCUUCUUAACUCUGAAAUUAAAAGACAUAAGCUUUGAUGACCAUGAAUCCAUUGCCUUUCUUCCACAACCAACAAAGAAAGUAAAAUUAAAAGUUAUUCUCUGUAAAGAAAUAAAAUGAGUCAAAUUACACAGUAAGAGUAAUGUGACAAAUAUCAUAUGAUAUCGGCGAUGACUUUGGCGAAAGCGAUUUUUAGGGUUCCAAGAUGAUUUUUUCACGGUGGCGAGUUAUGGAUCGGCGACGGAUCCGAGAGGGUGGAGAGAGGGCUUUAUGCUAUAGGGAAGCUGAGGAGGAGUCUCGGGUUAGUGAGGGAUUUUGUGGGUUUAAUCGAUCUCGGGAGAUCUGGUUAGGUGAUUUGAGGGGUUGCGAUAAUCUCUUACAAGGAUUGGACUUGGUAAUCUUCAUUUUACGAGGAGGAGAGGCUACAAGGGAUGAGGAGGACAGGGAAACUUUUGGUACUAGAUCGGGAUUUGGAUUGAUGGUCAUUUUCCGGAGUGGUUUGCGGUUCCUAGGUUGGAAGAGAGGAGAUAGGGGUGGAUCGGGUAGGAAGGGUCCUGUGCUGCUGAUCACGUAUUCUUGGAUGACAAGGAGUUUUCAAACUUUCACUAUAUUAUUCCCAACUCAAGGCUUAAUAAAGGACACAAGCAGAAGUGAGCAGGUUCUCAUUGCUGCUUUUGGAAGGGUAGUGUUCUACUUUGCUUGGACACGAGAUAGCUUUACAAUCAGGUUUUACUAUUUAUAUGCACUGUUUGCUUGGCAUGAUGCUUAUUGGUAUGAGGAUAUAAGAAAAGUGUUUCAAGCUCGAGGAUGGUAUCUUGCGUCUUUAAGUUCGGUGAUAUUGGUUUCAUUAGACAAGAAUAUGGAGAGGAGCCAGUUCGGCCAAGUGACAAUGGUCACUGUAAUGGGUGUGGGGUCUGCUUUGAAUGACAUGGGGUUAAUGCGAUGGUCUCAGGGUGCUAAUGAGGAGGAUUUUUUCUUAUCUCAUGAUUGGGUUAAAAGGCUUAUGUGUCUUAGUGGUUCCGUACAUUUUGUUUUCAUAUUUUUAAUUUUUUGGGUAAUGUUUACUAAUGCAGUUUUACUUGGAUGUUUUGGACUUUAUGGGAGCCAAAUAUGGUAUGCUUGGGUUUUAAAAGGGUGCUUACUAAUUUGUAGUUUGCUUGGGGGUUGGAAUGCAUGGAAUAAAUUUGUUGACUUUGGUGUUUGGAUUUGUUUCAAAUCGUUGCAACGAAGGGAUCAGAAUUUUUUACUUAUGCAAUUUGAUGUUCAUGGGAGGGAAAUAAAGGAGUUGGUACAUAUGUGUUUUGUUGGUUUUGGGAUGUGGCUCGGGACAGAGCAGAACGCUUUGGCUGCACGGACUCGAGGCCUGCGGCUGGUCUCUUUAAACCAGUUGCAGAGAGUUUCUUUGGAGAGGCUUAAAGUGCUCGUUUUGGGAACAUACAGUUCAGUCAUUGUUAUUGGUUCAGGAGCUUCCACAGACUUAUAUAUGUCGUACGUGAAGCGUGUGAUUUAUCUGUUUGGUUUCUUUAUUAUAGUUUAUAUGUUUGGUUUCUCUAUUAUGGUUUUUAUUGGACCCAAUUUAAAGGGUGAGGUUGAGCUGGACAUAAUGUAUAGACUUGGAAUGGAGCAAGGGUCUAUUUUUUUCAUAUUGAAGCUGUUUACUAUGACGGUUAAUUUGGGAGUUCGGUGGAUUAUUGCUUCUUGGUGGUUGGGAUUUCAGGGUAUCAUCAAACCUAAUUUCGCUAAACUCUUGGGAGUUUUUAUUUAUAACUUUAAAUGAGAGUGCUUAGUUGGAAUUGUAGAGGUAUGGGAAGCAAGUGGACUAUGAGCUAUCUAAGAGAGAUAUGGUAUAAACAUAAACCGGAUUUUUUAUUUUUAUCUGAAACAAAACAAGACUCAAAAUUUGUUCAAGAUUUCCAAGCACAUAUUGGAUUUGAUAAUUUGUUCACGGUUGAUCCAUUGGGAAGGAGUGGUGGUUUAGCGCUUUUUUACAACAAUGAUUCUCAGGUCCAAGUCUUAUAUUCUAGUAAUAGAAUGAUCGAUGUGGAAGCGGUGACCCACGGAAAGACGGUUUAUCUUACGUUUGUGUAUGGUGAUCCUGUUCCAAAAUUAAGAGAACAAGUGUGGGAACGUUUGACGAGAUAUGGACUUGCGCGUUCAGAACCCUGGUUCAUCAUUGGGGAUUUAAAUGAGAUUACUGGAAAUCAUGAAAAGGAUGGAGGAUCACUGAGGAGUGCGGAUUCUUUUAUUCCUUUUAAUAAUAUGAUAAGGAAUACUGGGUUAUUGGAAUUUCCGGCACGGGGAAAUAAAAUGUCAUGGCAAGGGAGAAGGGGAAAAGGAAAAGGGGCAGUUACGGUAAGAUGUCGUCUAGAUCGAGCUUUAGCAAAUGAGGAGUGGCAUACUUUGUUUCCAUGUUCUUUUACAGAAUACUUAGGGAUGGUGGCUUCUGAUCAUCGCCCAGUUGUGGCUUAUCUGAAUGAUAAAGUCACUAGGAGAAAAGGGCAAUUUCGGUUUGAUAAAAGAUGGAUUGCACAAGAAGGUCUUUUGGAAUCAAUUACAAUGGGCUGGUCAGAUUAUAGUGCAACAAGGGAAACUGGGAUAGUGGAAAAAAUUAGUAAUUGUCGACAUGAAAUUGCUAAAUGGCGGAAAAAUAAUCCUCCUUAUGGGAAGGACAAAAUUAAUGAGUUACAAAAAGCUCUUGAAGAGGUACAAACAGAUAAUUCUAGAUCUCAAGAGGAUAUUAUCGAGGUCUCAAAGAAGUUGCAAGAUGCAUAUAAAGAUGAAGAGGAGUAUUGGCACCAAAAGAGUAGGAAUACGUGGUAUACAUCUGGGGAUCUCAAUACAAAAUUCUAUCAUGCUUUGACUAAGCAACGACGGGUACGUAAUCGGAUUGUGGGUUUAUAUGAUGCUUUGGGAAAUUGGAUUACGGAAGAUAUGGGUGUGGAAAAAGUGGCAGUGGACUAUUUCGAAGAGCUUUUCACUACCACUUCUCCAACGGAGUUUGAUGACUUUCUCACAGAGGUAUCACCAGGUAUUACUCCUCAAAUGAACCAACGUCUGUUAAGAGUAGCAUCAGAGGAUGAGGUCAGAGAAGCCCUUUUUAUGAUGCAUCCAGAGAAGGCACCAGGACCGGAUGGUAUGACAGCUCUUUUCUUUCAACACUCCUGGCAUAUUAUUAAGAAGGACUUGGUGGACAUGGUGAAUAAUUUUUUGGUUACUGGAACAUUGGAUCCGAGGUUAAAUAUUACUAAUAUUUGUAUGAUUCCAAAAACGGAGAGGCCUACAAGGAUGACAGAACUGAGGCCGAUUAGUCUGUGUAAUGUUGGGUAUAAAAUUAUUUCGAAGGUUCUGUGUCAGAGAUUGAAGAUAUGUCUACCUUCUCUUAUUUCAGAAACUCAGUCAGCUUUUGUGCCAGGAAGGUUAAUCUCUGAUAAUAUUCUUAUUGCUCAGGAAAUGUUUCAUGGAUUACGGACGAACAAGGCGUGCAAAGGAAAAUAUAUGGCAAUUAAAACGGACAUGAGUAAAGCUUAUGAUAGAGUGGAAUGGGAUUUUAUAAAGGCUCUCCUACAGAAGAUGGGUUUUGAUUUUCAUUGGAUUACAUUAAUGAUGGAGUGUAUAUCAUCGGUUCAAUAUCGGGUCCUACUUAAUGGACAGCCACGGGGACUUAUCGUUCCACAUAGGGGUUUACGACAAGGGGAUCCUUUAUCACCUUAUUUAUUUAUCCUGUGUACUGAGGCUCUAAUUGCAAAUAUUAAAAAGGCGGAAAGAAGGAAACUUUUGACGGGAAUGAAGGUAGCUAGAGCAUGUCCAUCGAUAUCUCAUCUGCUUUUUGCGGAUGAUAGUCUUUUUUUCUGUAAAGCUUUGAAAGAGGAAUGCCAUACUAUCCUUAGGAUCUUAAAGGAAUAUGAGGUUGUAUCAGGUCAGCUUAUAAACUUUGAUAAGUCCUCUAUCCAAUUCGGGCACAAUAUUGAGGAAUCAACUAGACAGGACUUAAGAGAUAUAUUGGGAAUUCAGAAUCUUGGAGGUAUGGGAUCUUAUCUAGGUCUUCCAGAAAAUUUGGGAGGAUCCAAGAUACAGGUUUUUAGCUUUGUGCAGGACCGGCUAAAUAAUAGGGUUAAUGGUUGGACUUUUAAGUUCUUCACAAAGGGAGGAAAAGAAGUGAUUAUUAAAUCUGUGGUAACGGCAUUACCAAACCAUGUGAUGUCUGUUUACCGUUUACCUAAGGCAACAACUAAAAAACUGACGACCGCGGUCGCACAAUUCUGGUGGAGCCCAGGGGGAAGGACAAGAGGUAUGCACUGGAAAUCAUGGGAUAAAGUGUGUCUUGAUAAGGAAGCUGGGGGCUUAGGUUUCAAGGAUAUUACAGAUUUUAAUACAGCAAUGCUUGGUAAACAGUUGUGGCGCUUGAUCGAGAAGCCAAAUACAUUAUUUUCCCGGGUUUUUAAGGGACGGUAUUACAGGAAUGCAUCACCCCUGGAACCGAUUCGCUCUUAUUCUCCGUCAUAUGGUUGGCGGAGUAUAGUUUCUGCUAGAUCUCUGGUAAGCAAAGGACUAAUCAAAAGGGUGGGAUCAGGAUCAUCUAUAUCUGUAUGGAACGAUCCAUGGCUCCCAACCACUCGCCCGAGACCAGCAAAUAAAAAUCAACAUAUUUUCGAUCCAAACCUCACAGUGGAUUCUCUUAUUGACUCUACUUCGCGGACAUGGAAUUCGCAUGCACUCAGGGCUAUGAUAGAUCCCCAGGAUGUAAAAAUUAUAGAAAGUAUACCACUGAGUAAAACCCAGAUGGUGGACAGGGAUGGAUGGCAUUUCACAAACAAUGGGAAGUAUACGGUUAAAUCAGGAUAUCAGAUCGAACGGGUUUAUCCAGACAGGGAAAGACCACCUUUAAAGUUUGGACCCACGGUUGAUGCUUUGAAGGCUUUCUGCUGGAAAAUACGGUGCCCCCCAAAGUUAAAACAUUUCUUAUGGCAAUUGGUUACAGGUUGUAUAGCAGUCAAGAAGAAUCUGAAAGCGAGAGGAAUACAAGGUGACACCUGCUGUGCACGUUGCGGAGCGGAGGAGGAAUCGAUCAAUCAUGUGUUUUUUGAAUGUCCUCCUGCACUUCAGGUUUGGGCUCUCUCCAAGAUACCAUCAAAUCCAACUAUGUUCCCAACGAGUUCCCUUUUUACAAAUAUGGAUCAUCUCUUCUGGAGAGUCUCUCCCCCGAUGGAGGACCAUCAAUUUGCAUGGAUACUUUGGUAUAUUUGGAAAGGAAGGAACAAUAAAGUGUUCAGUAAUAUGGACAUGGAUCCAAGAGACACGCUCAAAUUAGCAGAAACAGAGUCAACACUUUGGGCUAAUGCACAUGUAUUGACCGAGACCAGGAUAGGGUCCCAUGUUGAGGUUACGACUCUCCCAUCAAUUCCGGGGAGAUGGUGUUUUACAGAUGGUUCUUGGAAGGAGAAUGAAGUUUUCUCUGGGCAAGGUUGGCUAAGUACUUUAGAAGGCUUUGAUGGGUUGUUAGGAGCAAGGAAUGUCCGAGCUUGUCUAUCCCCUCUACAUGCGGAGAUAGAAGCACUACUUUGGGCAAUGGAAUGUAUGAAAAAUUUACGCCAGUUUCAGGUUACAUUUGCAACGGAUUGUUCUAAGUUGGUGAAGAUGGUUUCGGAACCAGAAGAAUGGCCCGCAUUUGCAAGUUAUUUGGAAGAUAUUAAGUCCCUGAAAGAGGUUUUCACACGUUCGGAGAUUAUCUAUGUACCAAGGAUGCAAAAUUCAAGAGCGGAUAGCCUAGCACGCAGUGCCAGGAAACAACCGUUGUUUGUCGUUCACAUGGAUCAAAAUCUACCGGAGUGGUUUACAGAGUCAGUAUGAGUCUGUAUUUGAUGACAAAAAAAAAAACGUAAAAUUUUAUAUUUUCAUAGAGUUUUUUUUAAAAAAAAAAAAAAAAAAAAAAAAAAGAAAUAAAAUGAUCAAAUAUAUAUAAAAAAUUAUCGAUAAUAUAUACAAAUUAUAUACAAAUAAGCUUAUCAUGCGCAUGGUGCAAGUUUUAUCCUAGUUACAUAUCGAAUGAGACGCAUUUAAUUUUGACCAUGACUAUAUAUAUCAACUUUAACUCAAUAUUUCUGAUUAAGCUCCCAAUAUAUAUUUUCAACUACCUCCAGAGUAUAUAGACUCUCAUCCCACUUAAUGAAUGUUUUUAUUUUAUUUUAUGAAGUUAAGUUUUUACCUUCUUUUUUAAAAAAAUAUCGUUCAUAAGAUGUCACGCCAGGACAUGAACUACACAUGCGUCACACAUAGCAUGCAGAUGCGGACGAUUGUUUUUGUUCGUCAUUUGUCAAUCACUUCAAACACCUAAGAGCUUCUCUUUCACAGAACACACACACACACACACAAUCAUAUGCAUGCAUUAUUACACGUGAUCGCCAUGCAAAUCUCAUUUCUCACCUAUAAAUUAACUCCUCAGCUUCACUCUUUACUCACACCAAAACUCAUCAUUACAAACAAGGUUAAACACAUACACAAAUGGCGAACAAGCUCUUCCUCGUCUCGGCAACUCUCGCCUUCUUCUUCCUUCUCACCAAUGCCUCCGUCUACAGGACGGUUGUGGAAGUCGACGAAGAUGAUGCCACAAACCCAGGCGGCCCAUUUAGGAUUCCAAAGUGUAGGAAGGAGUUUCAGCAAGCACAACACCUAAGAGCUUGCCAACAAUGGCUCCACAAGCAGGCAAUGCAGUCCGGUAGUGGUCCUAGCUUGGCCCUCGCCGGUGAGUUUGAUUUUGAAGACGACAUGGAGAACCCCCAGGGCUCACAGCAGAGGCCGCCACUACUCCAGCAGUGCUGCAACGAGCUCCACCAGGAAGAGCCACUUUGCGUUUGUCCAACCUUGAAAGGAGCAUCCAAAGCAGUUAAAUCCCGGGUUCAACAACAGGGACAAAUGCAGGGACAACAGCAGCAGCAAAUAGUGGGCCGUAUCUACCAGACCGCUAAGCACUUACCUAGAGUUUGCAACAUCCCGCAAGUUAGCGUUUGUCCCUUCCAGAAGACCACCCCUGGGCCCUACUACUAGAUUCCAACGAAACCCUCGAGAGUGUAUAUACCACGGUGAUGAGUGUGGUCGUUGAUGUAUGUUAACACUAAAAAGUCAUCGUGUGUGUUUUAUAAAUAAUGUACGUUAAAAUGUUCGAGGCUAAUGUAAUAAGAACUACUCCGUUGACGGUAAUAAAAGAGAAGUUUUUUUUAUACUGUUGCUCCAUCCUAAAAAGUGAUAAUUAACGACAGAUACGCCCAAAAAAACAAAUUAAUAUACUCACAAUGAAUCAGUAGUCUAAUGAACAUGUUAGACUAAAUGUCUAAUUAAGCCGUUUUUGCCAAAAAAAAAAGGGUUCAAAUCGUCCAUUGGGAUCAAACAAUGACUCAAUCAGGUUUGAUCAGAUACUCGAAAUCCUUUUUGAUCGCAUUCUCAUGAAUCCACUGUAAUAUAACGAUUUCCUAUGUUGUAAAGCCUCUUUAGUAGAAAAAUAACGAUAAGCAGCAAUAUAAAUGUAUUUCAGUUUAAGAUUAGCACUACAAGAAAUUUGGGUUUUAAUAGCAGACUAGUAUAGCAUUUUUUUCGAUUGUGCUAUUGUUGACAUACCUCUUACUUUUAGAUAGCGUUUGUGAAAAUGCAAAUACUAUCUUUGGUUGGUCCGAUUUUAGGAGGAACCCCUAUCCCGGAGCCAAUCCCCUAUUGGUCCUGCGUAAAUGUUUUUUCUAAACCUAGUAUACAUAGCAUUUUCAGUUUUGAAACGCAAUGCAUAAUUAAAAUAAUUGAUUUUUCCUUUCACCCUUGUUUCGCUUUCCUACUCACUAUAUUUUAUUUGCCUCCAAAAACCUUAACACUAAAUUUAAACCCUAAAGUUUUAACACAAUCCCUAAACUCUAAAUAAACUUUAAAUUCUAAAAUUUUAACAUUAAAUCUUAAAUUUAACUUCAUAUCUUAAAUAUAAACUAAAAAAUUACUAUUUUCAAAAGUUAAUCUCAAAUCUUAAAUCAAUACUCCAAACCCUUAACCCUCAAACCCUAUACUCAAAACUUUAUUCUAAACUCCAAACUUUAAAUCUAAAUUCAUAUCAAACUUUUCUAAAAUUUAAUACACUACAAUUUUUAACUACAUGCUAGUCUUAACUUAUAUAUAUAUAUAUAUGUGUAUUUUGCAAAUCUUGAAUUUUGGAGUUUAGGGUAUGUUUAGAGUUAAGAUCUAAAUUUAAAUCUGAAAAAAUUCAAGUUUUUAGAACUAUGUACAUAUCUACUUUAAAUGAAUUAAACAUAGAAUUUUAAUCAAACUUAUAAUAAACAUUAAAAUUAAAGAAAGAUUAGAAACAAAAAAAAUCUGUCGAUGUACAACAAGAUAUAGAACCAAAAUACUACCAAAAUAAACUUUACUGUCCAAAGUGAAAAUAAAGUAAAACAACUAAAAGAAAAAAUUCCUAUUGGUUAGUUCAUAAGCACAAGGAUUGAGCUUUUCACCGUCAGAUGACGGGAUCCUCAUCCAAUGGACCAAAAUUAUUUUUUUAUUCAGUUCUGGAAUUUUUUGAGCAAACAGAUCUCAUAUCUUUCGACACAUUCUCUUAGACAACUUCAUCUCCUCAUCUCUUUCUCCUUAGGCUUUAUUCACUACUAGCCCCCUCAUUCUCUUUGCCAAUCUCUGCUCCAUUUCUCUCUACCCUCGCGAGAUCUCUGCUCCAUGACUCAUCUUCUCUCCCUUUGUCGAUUUAUCUUUUCUUCAUCUUCUUCUCUCUUAUCAAGAAUACUAGAUCUAGAAGCAGAGGCUAAGCAUCGAUGUUUCUCACGAUACUGACAAAUCUCAUUCCGCCGCGAGACGCGGCUGAGGUGGUCGACGACUCCGACACUCGCGGUACUCUCUCUCUCUCUCUCUCUCUCUCUCUAUGUUGAAUAUGACUUUUUUGUUUGUUAAGGUGGUCGCGAGCAGAGAUGGUGGUGCGGCGGGUGAGGACUGGAAGAUGAAGAAGACAACGAAGUGCAUGGAUUGAUGCGACAACGAAGCGCAUGGAAGAACACAACGACGAAGGUGGUGGUGCGAUGGGUGAGGAUUGGAAGAUGAAGACUACAACGAAGGUGGUUGUGCGGCGGAGUUUAGUUAGUAAUUAGGUUAAAGCUUAGUUUAGCUUUUGGUUUAUUAUUUAAUUAGAUUUAUUUUUAUAUUUUUGUAAUCCAAUUUAAUUAUAAAUCAAUUUAAGUAAUAAAGAAAUUUUAAAUCUAUGAAUUAAUUUUAAUUAUGUUUUUAUUUUUAAAUAAUUUACUAAAAAUAAAUAUAAAAUAAAUAAUUUUAAUAUAAAUAAUAACAAAAAACAAACACUAUUAAAAAAUGUUUAAUUGCAUACAAAAAAAUGCUAUAAUAUAUGACAAUAAGAUAGCAUCACGAAAAACCGCUAUCUAAUGUGCUUGACCUACUAUGACGGACGAUGAUACAGCGCUUCAUAAACCGCUAUCGUAUCAUUAGAUAGCGUUUUUCGCCCGCUAAGAAAAACUUUUUUUCUUGUAGUGAUAUAGUUGUUUUCAUCACAGCAUAGCAUGAUAAAAAAUGAUCACUUAACAAAUAUAAUGAUUUUGUUUAUCUAAUGCUUGUCUAUUCAAGAUUUAGAACAUUAAUGUGAUGUUUUGUCCACACAUUGAUAACGCAGACACACUUAAGGUUAACUAGAGAUUGAUCCGCACAUCUGCGCGGAUAUUGAUUCUUACAUUUUUAUACAUUGAUAUUUAUUUUUCAUAAUUAAUGUUAUAUAUUUUACAUGGGUCUUAAUAUAACUAAUUGUAUUCAAAUGAUCUAGACCGAAUAGGGUAAUAUUGUUAUUUUUGGUACAAAUAUCCUAAUCGAUUUCAGAUACAUUUGUAAUUUAGAUAUUUUUAGGUUUAUAUACAUCAUUACCAAACUCAUCCAUACCGAGAAGAACCCAACUCAAAAUCCACACAUAAAUUUAUAAUCAAGUGGGACCUAAUUUCAAAAAAAAGCGAUACCCGAAAAGAACAGCCCGUACUUAAUUGGAUAGCCAAUGUUCAUGCGUUACUGAUUUUAUAAACUAAUAAAAAUGACUCUAACUGAUUUUAUAAACUAAUAAAAAUGAUUAUUUCUAUGUGUUUGGUUAAAUUAAGUGAAAUAGAAAGAGUUUUUUAUUUAGUAAAAUAAUUAUAUGGAUUGAAAAAUUAAGUGAUAAAAAAUGUAAUACAUUUUUAUUACAUUGAUUUAAGUUAUUAUUUUAUUCAUAAAAACAUGUCUUUGAAUUAUUUUUUGGCUUCGUAAUUUUCCACCGAUUGAAACUAAAAUAAAUAAAUAAAUUUUAAUAAAACAAACUAAACCGAAAGUUUAAACAUAUGAAAAACUCAGUUAUUUUACAUUUUUGAUUUUAUAAUUGGCACAAAAUUAAUAUUAAUUAACUAAUAAAUAAAAAUCUGCUAUAUUAUUAUUAUGGUAAUAUAAUUAAUGAUGUGAUGUAUUGAUAAGAUAAUAUAAUUAAUGAAAUUGUUAAACUGAGUGAAAUAUGGAAAGACAAUUAAUGUAAUUAUAUUAAUGAAACUAAUAAAAAGACAUUAUACUUCUUUUUUAUACUAUUAUCCAUGUUUUCAAAAAAUUCUUAUUUAUAAUGAUAUUCAUGUUUUCAAACAAUAUCAAAUAGAUACUUCAAUUUUAAUAAUAACUAGAUCUUGAUCCGUGCGUCCGUACGGGUGUUUGCUUUAAUUUGUAAGAACAUUAUAAAAUUCAUAACUAUUUUAAAAAUUAUGGUAUCGUUAUAUAUUAAAGUUUGACUAUUAUUGUAUUUGUAAUAUGAAUAAAGGAAUACUAAUACAUUCAUAUAUUAAUAUUUUUGUUUCAUUGUUUAUUUGAUAUUAUAACCCAAAUAUUAUAGUUAUUUAUAGUAUUGUAUAUUUAAUUCUAUUUCGGUGGUCCAUAAAAAAAUUAGAAAGAAUGUUUACUCAAUCUAUUAGAUCCUUCGUAUUGUAUUUUUUUAUAUAUAUAUUGAAAACAAUUUUAUAAUGGUUGUUGAAAAAUAAAUUUGUAAAAAUUAAAUUUUGAAUACAUGUAUAUUUUUGAAUCAAUUUUUGUUUUGAAUUUUGUUUAAUGAUUAAUUUAGAAAAAUAUGUUUUUAGUUAAUUAGAUUCGAUCAGUUGCACAAAAAAAAGUAAUUAGAUUGAGUCAUUUUUGAAAUCUGGUCGAAACAGAUAAUUUAUAAAAAUAUAAUGGACAUCAAUUUUUUUAAUAACAUAAACCCAUUAUUUUUUUUAAUAUACUGUUAUUCAUAUUUUCACACAACAUUAUAUUUCUUUUUAAUUAUGUUAUUCUUGUUUCCAAGCAUUUCCAAAGGUACUUCUACUUUAAUAAGAUAAAAGAUAUAAUAUUGCAAAAAUAUGUUGUUAUUUAUUUUUUCAUGUCACUAUUAAAUAUAAUAUAUGUCUCAUCAUAUAAUUAAUCGUGUUUUUUACCUACCAUCAUAUAAGUAAUCAUAUAAUUAAUAGUAUUUUAUAUGUAUCAUCAUAUAAAUAAUUAUAAAUAUUAUAUUUUUAAAACUUAAUAUGAAAUAUAAAAAUCAUAAUUUACGUUGGUGAUUGAAAUUGCUUUGUAUUGAAUUUUUCUUAAAUAAUUUAAAACAUUUUUAUAAUGGUUAUAAAAAACAUUUUAGUAAAAUAAAUUUUUGAGUAUAUGUAUAUUUUUGAAUCAAUUUUUGAGAUAAAUUAAUUUUAAAUUAAUAUUUUGAUUUGAAAUAUGUCUAUAAAAUUUAAAUUUUGUUUUAUGAUUAUUUUAGACAAAAAUAUUUUUAAGUAAUUAGAUUGGGCUAGCCAUUUUCGUAUAUUUUAAAGCUGACUCAUAUAUAUUGUUUUCAUAAUAUAAUGAAUUCCCAAUUUUUCUUGAUAACGUAAGCCCUUUACUUUUUUUCUUUAAUAUAUUGUUAUUCAUGUUUCCAAACAACACUAUAUAUUUUUUUAACUUCUAUCUUCUUUUUUUGUCAUCAACGUAUAUACAUACUCAUACAGACUCUGUGAACCAAGCCGGGAGAUGUUGAUCCAUGUGAACGACGAAAGACGGUUGCUUUCUGACACUACGUGCUAGGCUAUCCGCCUUUGUAUUUUGCGUUCUUGGUACAUGGACAAUCUCUGAUCGGAGAAAACUUUCUUUCAGGAAUUUAAUAUCUUCUAAAUAACUUGCAAAAUCUGGUCAUUUUUCUGAUUCCAAAACCAUCUUCACCAAUUGAGAACAAUCCAUUGCAAACGUAACCUGAAAUUGACGUAAAUUCCUCAUACAUUCCAUUGCCUAGAGUAGUGCUUCCAUCUCCGCAUAGAGAGGAGAUAGACUAGCCCGAACAUUCCUCGCCCUCAUCUGCCCAUCAAAACCUUCUAAAGUACUGAACCAACCAUGUCCGGAGAAAACGUCUUUCUCUUUUCAGGAACCAUCUGUGAAACACCAUCUACCUGGAAUUAACGGUAAUGACUAACCUCUACCUGUGAUACUAUCCUCUGUUUCUUUGCUAUAUGCGCUUCAGUCCAAAGUGUGGACUAUGUUUCUGCUAAUUUUAAAUUCUAUCUAUGUUACCAAACAAAAACUUAAAGUACUUCUACUUUAAUAAGAUAGAUAUAAUAUAGAUAUAAGUUAUAUAAAGAUUAAGCACCAACAUUAAGUCAAGUAGUGACCACGUUUAGGUUUCAAGACAACUUCUUCUCUUGUUUCUGGCCUUGGAGGAGAAAAUCACAUCCAAGACUCAAGCGAUAAUUCAACCGCACCGCAGUACCUGCAAAAUAUGUAGAGUUAUUCUUGGGUUCACCCUCAAGAGGUUCACCAACUAAUAGGAUUUCAUUAUUUUAAAUUCGAUAUUUUUUAGAAAAGAAAACAAAAUAUUAUCAGGUUAUAUUAUAUUUUUAAAAUAAAAAAUAGUAGUUACAGAAAAAAAAUUUAAAAAAAUAUUUUUGACGUCGUCAGCAAAACAUUAAACCCUAAAUUCUAAUCCCUAAACUCUAAAUCCGAAACUCUAAACCCUUGGAUAAAUUAUAAACUCUAAAUCAAAAACAAUAAACACUAAAACCCUAAACCAUAAAUCCUAAACCCUAAACCUUUGAGCGUUUUAGUGUUUAAUAUUUUUGAUUUAGAGUUUAGGAUUUAUCCAAGGGUUUAAGAUUUACCCAAGGGUUUAGGUUUUAGGAUUUGGGGUUUAAGGAUUAGGAUUUAGUUUUUUCUUGACGAUGUUAAAAGUAUUUUUUUUGUAAUUACUACUAUUUUUAAUUUAUUUUUUAUUUUAAAUAUAUAAUAUAACCUGAUAAUACUUUGUUUCUUUUAAUAAAAGAUAUCGAAUUUGAAAUAACACAAUCCUAUUGGUUGGUGAACCUAGAGGUUCGCCCUAGGGGGCGAACCCAAGAAUAAGUCAAAUAUGUAUAUAGACUUUCGUCCCAUUUUAAACCAACUUAAUAAGGGUUUUCUAUUUUAUGAAGUAAUUUUUUACUAGAGGUGGGUAUUUGGAUAUCCGUUCGGGUUUGAUUUUGUAUUUAUUCGAGUUUUAAAUUUUUGGAGUUAGAAAGUUAAACUUCACUCGGGUAUUUAUACAUUUUGGUUUGAAUUUAUAUAAGAUUUUUGCGGGUUUGGUUCCGGUUCAGUAUCCAUUUAAAUUACUUUAAUAAAAUAAAAAAUAUAUACUUAAAAAUUCUAAAAGUCCAAAAAUAAAAUAACAUAUAGCAUAUAAGUUUGAAUAGUUUAUGUCUUAAUAUCUAAAUUAAAAUAAAAUUGUUUUGUUAUUGACAUUUGGAAGGAAAAAUUGUUACGUAUUUUGAGUACUUUUGGUAUUUUGAAUAUAUUUUAGCCAUUUUGGAUUUUGGCUGCUUGUAUAUAUUUCUAGGUAUUUUAGACACUUUCAAAAAUGUAUAGUUUUAGAUAUUAGAUUUAAAAAAUUAAUGUAUUUAGAUAAAUAAUAUAUAUUUGGAUAUUUUUGGAUACCUAAAAUAUUUCAGUUCAGAUAAGUUUGGUUUCGAGUUCUUCAAAUACCAAAAUUUUGACUUCAUCUGGAUAUUUAAUCAGAUUCGGUUCAGGUAUAGUAUUACUUUUCAGAUAAAUUUCGAUUCAGUUCUUCGGGUCUGGGCAUUUUGCCCAGCACUAGUUUUUACCUUCCUUUUUAAAAUAAUCGUUCAUAAGAUAUCAUGCGAGGACAUGAGCUACACAUAACAUGCAGAUGCGGAUGACUGUUUUUGUUCGUCACUUGUCACUCACUUCACAGCGAUACACACACAUGCAUGCAUUAUUACACGUGAUCGCCAUGCAAAUCUCCAUUCUCACCUAUAAAUUACGUCCUCAGCUUCACACUUUACUCAAAUCAAAAUCAUCAUAAUUACAAACAAGGUUAAAAACAUACACAAAUGGCGAACAAGCUCUUCCUCGUCUCGGCAACUCUCGCCUUCUUCUUCCUUCUCACCAAUGCCUCCGUCUACAGGACGGUUGUGGAAGUCGACGAAGAUGAUGCCACAAACCCAGCCGGUCCAUUUAGGAUUCCAAAAUGUAGGAAGGAGUUUCAGCAAGCACAACACCUAAGAGCUUGCCAGCAAUGGCUCCACAAGCAGGCAAUGCAGUCUGGUAGUGGUCCAAGCUGGACCCUCGACGGUGAAUUUGAUUUUGAAGACGACAUGGAGAACCCCCAGGGCCCACAACAGAGGCCCCCGCUACUCCAGCAGUGCUGCAACGAGCUCCAUCAGGAAGAGCCACUUUGCGUUUGCCCAACCUUGAAAGGAGCAUCCAAAGCCGUUAAACAACAGGUUCGACAACAGGGACAACAGCAGGGACAGCAGGGACAGCAGCUGCAGCAAGUAAUUAGCCGUAUCUACCAGACCGCUACGCACUUACCUAGAGUUUGCAACAUCCCGCAAGUUAGCAUUUGUCCCUUCCAGAAGACCACGCCUGGGCCCUACUACUAGAUUCCAAACGAAAUCCUCGGGAAUGUAUAUACCGCGGUGAUGAAUGUGGUUGUUGAUGUAUGUUAACACUUCAUAGUCAUGGUGUGUGUUCCAUAAAUAAUGUACGUUAAAAUGUUCGAGG